AGAGUUUGAUCCUGGCUCAGAACGAACGCUGGCGGCGUGCCUAACACAUGCAAGUCGAACGUGAUUGAGGAGCUUGCUCCUCAUGAAAGUGGCGCACGGGUGAGUAACGCGUAGAUAAUCUACCUGAUGAUCUGGGAUAACACUUCGAAAGGGGUGCUAAUACCUGAUAAGCCCACGGGGUCUUCGGACUCUGCGGGAAAAGGGGGGGACCUUUGUCGGCCUUCCGUCAUCAGAUGAGUCUGCGUCUGAUUAGCUAGUUGGUGGGGUAACGGCCUACCAAGGCGACGAUCAGUAGCCGGCCUGAGAGGGUGAUCGGCCACACUGGAACUGAGACACGGUCCAGACUCCUACGGGAGGCAGCAGUGGGGAAUUUUGCGCAAUGGACGAAAGUCUGACGCAGCAACGCCGCGUGGGUGAUGAAGGUCUUCGGAUUGUAAAACCCUGUCGUCAGGGACGAAGGUUGGGAUCCUAAUACGAUUUCAGCUUGACGGUACCUGGAGAGGAAGCCCCGGCUAACUCUGUGCCAGCAGCCGCGGUAAUACAGAGGGGGCAAGCGUUAUUCGGAAUUAUUGGGCGUAAAGGGCGCGUAGGCGGUUUUGUAAGUAGGAUGUGUAAUCCCCGAGCUCAACUUGGGAACUGCAUCCUAGACUGCAAGGCUAGAGUACUGGAGAGGGUGGUAGAAUUCCACGUGUAGCGGUGAAAUGCGUAGAGAUGUGGAGGAAUACCAGUGGCGAAGGCGGCCACCUGGACAGUAACUGACGCUGAGGCGCGAAAGUGUGGGGAGCAAACAGGAUUAGAUACCCUGGUAGUCC
rnacentral:rRNA from 1 species